rnacentral:rRNA from 1 species
GAUGAACGCUGGCGGUGUGCCUAAUACAUGCAAGUCGAGCGAACAGACGAGGAGCUUACUCCUCUGACGUUAGCGGCGGACGGGUGUGUAACACGUGGAUAACCUACCUAUAAGACUGGGAUAACUUCGGGAAACCGGAGCUAAUACCGGAUAACAUGUUGAACCGCAUGGUUCAACAGUGAAAGACGGUCUUGCUGUCACUUAUAGAUGGAUCCGCGUCGCAUUAGCUAGUUGGUAAGGUAACGGCUUACCAAGGCAACGAUGCGUAGCCGACCUGAGAGGGUGAUCGGCCACACUGGAACUGAGACACGGUCCAGACUCCUACGGGAGGCAGCAGUAGGGAAUCUUCCGCAAUGGGCGAAAGCCUGACGGAGCAACGCCGCGUGAGUGAAGAAGGUCUUCGGAUCGUAAAACUCUGUUAUUAGGGAAGAACAAAUGUGUAAGUAACUAUGCACGUCUUGACGGUACCUAAUCAGAAAGCCACGGCUAACUACGUG